rnacentral:rRNA from 1 species
AUAUUGGACAAUGGGGGCAACCCUGAUCCAGCAAUGCCGCGUGUGUGAAGAAGGCCUUCGGGUUGUAAAGCACUUUAGGCUGUGAGGAAGAUGUACUGUUUAAGAGAUGGUACAUUUGACUGUAGCAGCGGAAUAAGCACCGGCUAACUCUGUGCUAGCAGCCGCGGUAAUACAGAGGGUGCAAGCGUUAAUCGGAAUUACUGGGCGUAAAGGGCGCGUAGGCGGAAAUUUAAGUGAGAUGUGAAAUCCCUGGGCUUAACCUAGGAACUGCAUCUUAUACUGGAUUUCUGGAGUACUGUAGAGGGUAGUGGAAUUUCCGGUGUAGCGGUGAAAUGCGUAGAGAUCGGAAGGAACACCAGUGGCGAAGGCGGCUACCUGGACAGAUACUGACGCUGAGGCGCGAGAGCGUGGGGAGCAAACAGG